AGCGAACGCUGGCGGCGUGGAUAAGGCAUGCAAGUCGAGCGAUCUUCGCAAGGAGAUAGCGGCAAACGGGUGCGUAACGCGUAAGCAAUCUGCCCUAAAGCGUGGGAUAACCUUUCGAAAGAGAGGCUAAUACCACAUGUGUUGACGUGAUCGCAUGGUCAUGUCAAGAAAGACGGCGAACCGCAAGGUGCUGUCGUUUUAGGAGGAGCUUGCGUCCAUCAGCUAGUUGGUAGGGUAACGGCUACCAAGGCUUUUGACGGAUAGCUGGCCUAAGAGGGUGGUCAGCCACACUGGGACUGAGACACUGCCCAGACUCCUACGGGAGGCUGCAGUCGAGGAUCUUUGCAAUGGGCGAAAGCCUGACCAUGCGACGCCGCGUGCGGGA
rnacentral:rRNA from 1 species